rnacentral:rRNA from 1 species
UACGAAGGGGGCUAGCGUUGCUCGGAAUCACUGGGCGUAAAGGGUGCGUAGGCGGGUCUUUUAAGUCAGGGGUGAAAUCCUGGAGCUCAACUCCAGAACUGCCUUUGAUACUGAAGAUCUUGAGUUCGGGAGAGGUGAGUGGAACUGCGAGUGUAGAGGUGAAAUUCGUAGAUAUUCGCAAGAACACCAGUGGCGAAGGCGACUCUUGCCUGUAACUG